AUUGAACGCUGGCGGCAGGCCUAACACAUGCAAGUCGAACGAGUGGCGGACGGGUGAGUAAUGUCUGGGAAACUGCCUGAUGGAGGGGGAUAACUACUGGCAACGGUAGCUAAUACCGCAUACCAUCAGAUGUGCCCAGAUGGGAUUAGCUAGUUGGUGGGGUAACGGCUCACAAGGGCGACGAUCCCUAGCUGGUCUGAGAGGAUGACCAGCCACACGGGAACGAAGCCACGGGCAGAACUCCAACGGGAGGCAGCGGUGGGGAAUAUUGCACAAUGGGGGCAAGCCUGAUGCAGCCAGGCCGCGUGUAGGAAGAAGGCCUUCGGGUUGUAAAGUACUUUCAGCGGGGAGGCGUUACCCGCAGAAGAAGCACCGGCUAACUCCGUGCCAGCAGCCGCGGUAAUAC
rnacentral:rRNA from 1 species